UACGUAGGGUGCAAGCGUUGUCCGGAAUUAUUGGGCGUAAAGAGCUCGUAGGCGGUUUGUUGCGUCGGCUGUGAAAUCCCGAGGCUCAACCUCGGGUCUGCAGUCGAUACGAGCAAACUAGAGUGUUGCAGGGGAGACUGGAAUUCCUGGUGUAGCGGUGAAAUGCGCAGAUAUCAGGAGGAACACCAGUGGCGAAGGCGGUGCUCUGGGCCGGUACUGACGCUGAGGAGCGAAAGCGUGGGGAGCGAACAGG
rnacentral:rRNA from 1 species